GACGAACGCUGGCGGCGUGCUUAACACAUGCAAGUCGAACGAAGAGCGACGGAAGCUUGCUUCUAUCAAUCUUAGUGGCGAACGGGUGAGUAACGCGUAAUCAACCUGCCCUUCAGAGGGGGACAACAGUUGGAAACGACUGCUAAUACCGCAUACGAUCUAACCUCGGCAUCGAGGAUAGAUGAAAGGUGGCCUCUACAUGUAAGCUAUCACUGAAGGAGGGGAUUGCGUCUGAUUAGCUAGUUGGAGGGGUAACGGCCCACCAAGGCGAUGAUCAGUAGCCGGUCUGAGAGGAUGAACGGCCACAUUGGGACUGAGACACGGCCCAGACUCCUACGGGAGGCAGCAGUGGGGAAUCUUCCGCAAUGGACGAAAGUCUGACGGAGCAACGCCGCGUGAGUGAUGACGGCCUUCGGGUUGUAAAGCUCUGUUAAUCGGGACGAAAGGCCUUCUUACGAAUAGUGAGAAGGAUUGACGGUACCGGAAUAGAAAGCCACGGCUAACUACGUG
rnacentral:rRNA from 1 species